rnacentral:rRNA from 1 species
UGCCAGCAGCCGCGGUAAGACGGAGGAUGCAAGUGUUAAUCGGAAUUACUGGGCGUAAAGCGUGCGUAGGCGGCUGCCUAAGUUGGGUGUGAAAGCCCCGGGCUUAACCUGGGAACUGCAUCCAAAACUGGGCAGCUAGAGUGCGGAAGAGGAGUGUGGAAUUUCCUGUGUAGCGGUGAAAUGCGUAGAUAUAGGAAGGAACACCAGUGGCGAAGGCGACACUCUGGUCUGACACUGACGCUGAGGUACGAAAGCGUGGGGAGCAAACAGGAUUAGAUA